CCUUGGAAAGGAAUCCCAUGAAGAUAAGUCCCUCAAACGUCUUAGCUAAAAUACAGAACUUGUAAAUCAAGAAAAAAGUAUUGUAAGCAUACAGACUGAAGCAUUUCAAAUUCUGAGGGAUUAUAUGCAUGACAACUCAAGACUUAACAAAUUUUUUGUAAAUGCGAGGAGAUCUUGGGAUAGAUGAUGGAUACUGGUUCCAGAAAGAGACAAAUAGGACCAGAAUCAAUUCUUCAUGACCAAAUAUAGCUUCAAGUCAAUGUUUUUGUGCAAAAAAUUCCCAGUUGUUGCUCUGAGUAGAGUGGUCAAGAGAAUGUGCUGAC
rnacentral:lncRNA from 1 species